AUACAGACAGACAAAAGGACACAGACAGGGAUGGAGACAACGCAAAGUUGUCCAGUACGGUGUGUGCUUCUCAGCCCGAGUGUCCUGGAAAACUCAGAGAAGUGGGCUGUCGGAGGAAAGGUGAGGCAGGGAGGCUCUGAUCAAGCUAAGCAGAGCCUUUACUGUCAAGCUGACACAUUUCUGAUUCAUAUACUACUUUUUAUGUGUGAAUAAAUGAGUGACUAGAUGAUGUAAAAAUGAACAGUGGAUGAGCAAGAAGAAAGUUUGACUAAAUCUGUCCAAUCCAGUGAUGGCAGAGGCUGGGAAGAGUCUCCUUCCCAGGUGAGCUCUUUGCCUCAGUGCCACAGAGCCAAGAAGCCAUCUGUGAGCUGCAGUCAGAACGCUGGGAGAGGCAUGCCAGAGUUUCUGGGAGAAUGUCCACAGCCAUGUGAAGAUCUCUGCAUCUCUCUCUCACCGCCCAACAAAACAGUUUGGCCACUCAGGCUAAUAAGAUAACGUCUGAAGUUCCACAAUGGAGGCCUCAUCUCUUAGCCAGAAGCUGGAAUGACUGACAUCUGGUGCUGGGCCCUGUGACUGACAGGGCAUCUAGUGCUGGGUCCUGUGAUUGACAGGGCAUCCAGUGCUGGACACUGUGGUAGGCAGGACAUCCAGUGCUGGGCCCUGUGAUUGACAGGGCAUCCAGUGCUGUGUCCUAUGGAAGGCAGGACAUCCAGUGCUGGCCCCUGUGAUUGACAGGACAUCCAG
rnacentral:lncRNA from 1 species